rnacentral:lncRNA from 1 species
AGGAAACUUGCUCCCCAUCUGAUAAGACAGAGUGCAAAGGAGACCCUAUUUCUUAGGGGCACAGCUGAUCUCCAGAUAUGACCAUGGGUUUGUGGCUCAAACUUCUGGCCUUUGGAUUUGCCCUUCUGGACACAGAAGUCUUUGUCACAGGGCAAACACCUACACCCAGUGAUGGUAAGAAUUAAUAUUUGACUUUUAAUAUUUUAUUUUUGUUACAACAAUCAUGUAGUUAAUAUAGAUAAAGUUUUAUACUUAUUUGGAAAGAAGUUUAAAGAAGAAAUUGUAUAAUAAUGUGUGGUUCCUCACUGUCACAUGCUCUUAAAAUUCUUUCUAAUAUUAAAUUUAGUGAAUAGUUGAACAUUCUUUAAAUUUCAUAAUUAUUAUUGUGUUCAAUUUAAAGUUUAACAUUUCAUUAAAUUGACAAUAAAUGGCAUAGAGAGUUUCUAAUCCUUUUAAAAAUUUAAGACUGUAAAUAAAUUUUGAAAAUCUGUACAUGGGAUAAGAUUUAAACAGAGAGAAAAAAACUGAUCAGAAUAUAUUGCAUAAGAAUAUUCUUUUUUUAAAAAAAGCAUUGAAUUAGAAAUGGGGUAGGAAGCCUAAAAACAACGUCACAUGUUUUGUUAUAUAAGGACAAAUGCAUUAUAUAAAUUAAUUGGAUCUAGAGUUCACUUAUAUUUAGAUUUUAAUAAAGGUUCACUUUUAUUUAAAAUUUCAUUUUAUAAUGUUUUUUCAAGAGUAAUUUGCCCUUUUUAAAGUUAUGCUUGGAGAUCUAAUAUUAAGAUAUGCUGCAUUAAUAGUUUACAAAGUUUCCUACUGUAAUUCAAUUAAUUUUUUUCUAAAAGCUUUUGAGAAAAUCAAUGUAAAUAGUGCUCAUGCUGCCAGUGUGUUAAAAAUUCUUUAAUGACCAAAUAUAGAUGUUAAAAUUCUCUAAAGCCUAAACACACAGAGGAAGUGACCUGCAGGUGGGUAAAGGGAAGUUAGAUCCCUUGCAUGUUUCUGUUGCUGUAAAUGCUUGUUUCCUGGUUAAUCAUGUGACUGACAGUAUGUCUUAAGAAGGUAAGUGAGACCGUAAAACAUGAGUGUUUUAAUAACUUAAAUGCACAUUUCAAGGGGAGCAAAUCUGAAAUGCUAAAAGUUGAUUAUCCUAGGAAUUAUUUGUCAUUAAAUGCAACACUAUGCAGAUACUUACAAAUCCCACUCCUGAGCCUUUAAAAAAAACCACAUUCUUUUAUUUUUUCAAUGUCUAAUAUUGGAAUUGUAUAGUUUUAGUGUGUGGCAGAGACAUUUGAUAAAACACUUGCUGCAGAGCAGGUUGUGAUUGGUUUAUGCCAAUUUCUUAAGUGAAAUUUGACAUUUUCCUUUACAAAAUAUUAAGCUACUCUCAGCUCACGUAGACGAGACAUUGUUGCAGGAGAGGAAGGUGAUGGGAUGGAAUGAUAGCUUAUUCUCUUACCUUGUUGAAAGUUAAGUUAGAAUUGUGGCCUAUAAUACAAAGAGGAGCAGUGUCCCCAAAUAUCACCAAUAGAAGAUAAUCAGUGAAAAACUCAGAAUGUUCAAAAUGAGGAUUCAGGGACACUAGAGAAUUGGCAAAUUUGCAGUCAUAGAUUUUACUGCUGAGACUUGAACUUAAGUGUCUGCGAAGAUAUUAACACGAGAGACUUCUCUGAAGACAUCUUCAUACACCAAGGACUGAAUUUGCUUUGCUGGAAAAUGUCUUGAGGAACCACACUCUUCAAAGCAGCUUGGGUUUUUAACAUUGAGGGUUUAAAAUCCAAAAGCCUUUUGUAGUUGGUUUACUCCAAGGGAGUGUCAGUGUGUUUGAUGGACAACUUGCUGCAAUAUUCUCUCAGGCCAGGAGACCAUUGCAACCUUUCCAAUUAGUUGAUCUAACCAAAAAAUAAAUUGUCAUCUGUAAAAGGGCGCUGAGUUAACACUAUGUGCACCAGAUUUAAAAAUCCCUCCUUCCACCUCUCUUCUCUCCCUCUCUGCUUUUCUGUUUCCCACUUCCUCCUUCCUUUUUAAAAAAUUUGGUCUUCCUUUUAAUUCAAUGCAUAGUGGGUGAGGGACAAUUAGGUUAGAAGAGUGGUCCUGAAUAUGAGAGGUAUGUCUUACCUCUAGUUCAAUUUGCAAAGGUUGUUUUAGUCUUUAUUUGUUAAAGUGCAACUAGUUUUGAGGAAGUGAAUCUUCAAAAACUGCGUAUUUUAAUACUCAAAGACGUUAAUACACAUUAAGCAAGGGACAAUUAAAAAUAACAUCCCUAAUAAUCCGAGAGAGAGAACAUGAUGAUUUUAAAAACUAAAUUUAGGGGACUUUGGAGAUGGCUCAGUGGAUAAGAGAACAGGUGUCCUGAGUCCAUUCCAGAGGUGAGUUCAGUUCCCAGAAACCAUAUGGUGGCUUACAACCAUCUGUAAUGGGAUUUGGUGCCCUCUUCUGGCGAUCAAGUUACAUGCAGAUAGAUUAUAUAUAUAUAUAUAUAUAUAUAUAUAUGUAAUUAAACAAAACUAAAUUAUAGAUUAUAUAUAUUUAUAUAUGUAAUUAAACAAAACUAAAUUUGAUUUAUUUCUCUUUUC